AGCAGCCGCGGUAAUUCCAGCUCCAAUAGCGUAUAUUAAAGUUGUUGCAGUUAAAAAGCUCGUAGUUGAAUUUCGGGAUCAAUACGUCGGUCGUGCUUCGGUACGUACUGGCGUCAUUGAUUUCUCCCUUCUGACGAACCAUGAUGUCAUUAACUUGGUGUCAUGGGAAAUCAGGACUGUUACUUUGAAAAAAUUAGAGUGUUUAAAGCAGGCUCACGCUUGAAUACAUUAGCAUGGAAUAAUGAAAUAGGACGUUCGAUCCUAUUUUGUUGGUUUUUAGGAUCAACGUAAUGAUUAAUAGGGAUAGUUGGGGGCAUUAGUAUUCAAUUGUCAGAGGUGAAAUUCUUGGAUUUAUUGAAGACUAACUACUGCGAAAGCAUUUGCCAAGGAUGUUUUCAUUAAUCAAGAACGAAAGUUAGGGGAUCGAAGACGAUCAGAUACCGUCGUAGUCUUAACCAUAAACUAUGCCGACUAGGGAUCGGA
rnacentral:rRNA from 1 species